rnacentral:misc_RNA from 1 species
AACGCACAUUGCGCCCCUUGGUAUUCCGAGGGGCACGCCUGUUCGAGCGUCAUUUCCCCCUCAAGCCCAGGCUUGGUCUUGGGCGCCGCCCCUUCUCUAGGGGCGGCCCCGAAAGCCGUCGGCGGCGGCAAGAGCCCAGAGCGCGACGCACUCGCGGAUCGAGGUUCGAGCGCCGGCCAGUCCACCUCCUCUGGAGACCCAAGUUGACCUCGGAUCAGGCGGGGAUACCCGCUGAACUUAA